GAUGAACGCUGGCGGCGUGCCUAAUACAUGCAAGUCGAGCGAACAGACGAGUAGCUUGCUCCUCUGACGUUAGCGGCGGACGUGUGAGUAACACGUGGAUAACCUACCUAUAAGACUGGGAUAACUUCGUGAAACCGGUGCUAAUACCGGAUAAUAUAUUGAACCGCAUGGUUCAAUAGUUAAAGACGGCUUUGCUGUCCCUUAUAUAUGGAUCCGCGCCGCAUUAGCUAGUUUGUAAGGUAACGGCUUACCAAGGCGACGAUGCGUAGCCGACCUGAGAGGGUGAACGGCCACGCUGGGACUGAGACACGAUCCAGACUCCUACGGGAGGCAGCAAUAGGGAAUCUUCGGAAAUGGGCGAAAGCCUGACGGAGCAGCGCCGCGUGGGUGAUGAAGGUCUUCGGAUCGUAAAACUCUGUUAUUAGGGAAAAACACAUGUGUAAGUGACUAUGCACGUCUUGACGGUACCUAAUCAGAAAGCCACGGCUAACUACGUG
rnacentral:rRNA from 1 species